GCUAACGGGAUUCUGCCUUUUCUUCUUUUCGUCUCUCUCUUCCGAUUCUCGAGCGGCCGAGCAGUUGAGCAUCGACGGACGAAUAUAAACGAUCGACCAGACGAAGAGGAAACGGGUUUCCGUUAGGUUGUCGUGACAAGGAUCCAGGAUUUCUAUGGGAGCGAGAUGAGAAAGGGGAUAGGAGGAGGCGCAAGAAAAGGGAUCGAACAAAGAAACAGUGAAAACAUCUAGAUGGUCAGACAAGGUUGUGUAAGUGGUAAAGGUCUGCGUCCGUUCCGACACGCGCUAUAACCUCUCACUUUCGAAAGUUCUCGACAGUUUAGACC
rnacentral:misc_RNA from 1 species